AGAGUUUGAUCCUGGCUCAGGAUGAACGCUGGCGGCGUGCUUAACACAUGCAAGUCGAACGAACCUUCGGGACACUGGCGCACGGGUGAGUAACGCGUGGAUAAUCUACCCCUAUCUCUGGCAUAACAUCGAGAAAUCGGUGCUAAUAUCAGAUGAGGCCUCCGGGUCAAAGUUUCGAUGGAUAGGGAUGAGUCCGCGUCUGAUUAGCUAGUAGGAGGUGUAAAAGACCAACUAGGCUACGAUCAGUAACUGGUUUGAGAGGAUGAUCAGUCACACUGGAACUGAGACACGGUCCAGACUCCUACGGGAGGCAGCAGUGAGGAAUUUUGGACAAUGGGGGAAACCCUGAUCCAGCGACGCCGCGUGUGGGAUGAAGGGGCUUUGCUCUGUAAACCACUGUCAGAUGGGAAGAAAAGUUUGUUUUACGGACUGGGACUGUACCAUCAGAGGAAGGACCGGCUAACUACGUGCCAGCAGCCGCGGUAAUACGUAGGGUCCAAGCGUUGUCCGGAAUUACUGGGUAUAAAGGGUGCACAGGCGGACUUGUGCGUCAGGGGUUAAAGAUCUCGGCUUAACCGAGGGAGUGCCUCUGAUACGGCAGGUCUUGAGUAUGAUAGAGGAUGAUAG
rnacentral:rRNA from 1 species